UGAAGGAGGGAAAAGAGGAGAGGAGAGAGCGUGUGGGGCCGGAGGGCACCGCGUUAGGUGAAGCCAGCAAAGCCACGAACAGAGAAAGACAGAGAUGCUGACAAAGUUGUACUGCUGGGUUGUCUUCAGAAAUGAGAAUCUACCACAGAUUUAAUUUAGUUAAUUAAAUAAUAAUUAAGAAAAAACAUUAGUGUAAAUUGCUGGGCUGCUUUCAUAAUUCCUAUUAUGGGUCCGUUCUAUAAUAAUUAGAUGCAUACU